rnacentral:rRNA from 1 species
UACGUAGGGGGCUAGCGUUGUCCGGAAUUACUGGGCGUAAAGCGUGCGUAGGUGGUUCGUUAAGUCUGAUGUGAAAGCCCUGGGCUCAACCUGGGAAUGGCAUUGGAUACUGGCGACCUAGAGUGCGGUAGAGGGGUGUGGAAUUCCCGGUGUAGCAGUGAAAUGCGUAGAUAUCGGGAGGAACAUCUGUGGCGAAGGCGACACCCUGGACCAGCACUGACACUGAGGCACGAAAGCGUGGGGAGCAAACAGG